rnacentral:rRNA from 1 species
GGGUUGUGAGGUUAAGCGACUAAGCGUACACGGUGGAUGCCCUGGCAGUCAGAGGCGAUGAAGGACGUGCUAAUCUGCGAUAAGCGUCGGUAAGGUGAUAUGAACCGUUAUAACCGGCGAUUUCCGAAUGGGGAAACCCAGUGUGUUUCGACACACUAUCAUUAACUGAAUCCAUAGGUUAAUGAGGCGAACCGGGGGAACUGAAACAUCUAAGUACCCCGAGGAAAAGAAAUCAACCGAGAUUCCCCCAGUAGCGGCGAGCGAACGGGGAGGAGCCCAGAGCCUGAAUCAGUGUGUGUGUUAGUGGAAGCGUCUGGAAAGGCGCGCGAUACAGGGUGACAGCCCCGUACACAAAAAUGCACAUGCUGUGAGCUCGAUGAGUAGGGCGGGACACGUGGUAUCCUGUCUGAAUAUGGGGGGACCAUCCUCCAAGGCUAAAUACUCCUGACUGACCGAUAGUGAACCAGUACCGUGAGGGAAAGGCGAAAAGAACCCCGGCGAGGGGAGUGAAAAAGAACCUGAAACCGUGUACGUACAAGCAGUGGGAGCACGCUUAGGCGUGUGACUGCGUACCUUUUGUAUAAUGGGUCAGCGACUUAUAUUCUGUAGCAAGGUUAACCGAAUAGGGGAGCCGAAGGGAAACCGAGUCUUAACUGGGCGUUAAGUUGCAGGGUAUAGACCCGAAACCCGGUGAUCUAGCCAUGGGCAGGUUGAAGGUUGGGUAACACUAACUGGAGGACCGAACCGACUAAUGUUGAAAAAUUAGCGGAUGACUUGUGGCUGGGGGUGAAAGGCCAAUCAAACCGGGAGAUAGCUGGUUCUCCCCGAAAGCUAUUUAGGUAGCGCCUCGUGAAUUCAUCUCCGGGGGUAGAGCACUGUUUCGGCAAGGGGGUCAUCCCGACUUACCAACCCGAUGCAAACUGCGAAUACCGGAGAAUGUUAUCACGGGAGACACACGGCGGGUGCUAACGUCCGUCGUGAAGAGGGAAACAACCCAGACCGCCAGCUAAGGUCCCAAAGUCAUGGUUAAGUGGGAAACGAUGUGGGAAGGCCCAGACAGCCAGGAUGUUGGCUUAGAAGCAGCCAUCAUUUAAAGAAAGCGUAAUAGCUCACUGGUCGAGUCGGCCUGCGCGGAAGAUGUAACGGGGCUAAACCAUGCACCGAAGCUGCGGCAGCGACGCUUAUGCGUUGUUGGGUAGGGGAGCGUUCUGUAAGCCUGUGAAGGUGUGCUGUGAGGCAUGCUGGAGGUAUCAGAAGUGCGAAUGCUGACAUAAGUAACGAUAAAGCGGGUGAAAAGCCCGCUCGCCGGAAGACCAAGGGUUCCUGUCCAACGUUAAUCGGGGCAGGGUGAGUCGACCCCUAAGGCGAGGCCGAAAGGCGUAGUCGAUGGGAAACAGGUUAAUAUUCCUGUACUUGGUGUUACUGCGAAGGGGGGACGGAGAAGGCUAUGUUGGCCGGGCGACGGUUGUCCCGGUUUAAGCGUGUAGGCUGGUUUUCCAGGCAAAUCCGGAAAAUCAAGGCUGAGGCGUGAUGACGAGGCACUACGGUGCUGAAGCAACAAAUGCCCUGCUUCCAGGAAAAGCCUCUAAGCAUCAGGUAACAUCAAAUCGUACCCCAAACCGACACAGGUGGUCAGGUAGAGAAUACCAAGGCGCUUGAGAGAACUCGGGUGAAGGAACUAGGCAAAAUGGUGCCGUAACUUCGGGAGAAGGCACGCUGAUAUGUAGGUGAAGCGACUUGCUCGUGGAGCUGAAAUCAGUCGAAGAUACCAGCUGGCUGCAACUGUUUAUUAAAAACACAGCACUGUGCAAACACGAAAGUGGACGUAUACGGUGUGACGCCUGCCCGGUGCCGGAAGGUUAAUUGAUGGGGUUAGCGCAAGCGAAGCUCUUGAUCGAAGCCCCGGUAAACGGCGGCCGUAACUAUAACGGUCCUAAGGUAGCGAAAUUCCUUGUCGGGUAAGUUCCGACCUGCACGAAUGGCGUAAUGAUGGCCAGGCUGUCUCCACCCGAGACUCAGUGAAAUUGAACUCGCUGUGAAGAUGCAGUGUACCCGCGGCAAGACGGAAAGACCCCGUGAACCUUUACUAUAGCUUGACACUGAACAUUGAGCCUUGAUGUGUAGGAUAGGUGGGAGGCUUUGAAGUGUGGACGCCAGUCUGCAUGGAGCCGACCUUGAAAUACCACCCUUUAAUGUUUGAUGUUCUAACGUUGACCCGUAAUCCGGGUUGCGGACAGUGUCUGGUGGGUAGUUUGACUGGGGCGGUCUCCUCCUAAAGAGUAACGGAGGAGCACGAAGGUUGGCUAAUCCUGGUCGGACAUCAGGAGGUUAGUGCAAUGGCAUAAGCCAGCUUGACUGCGAGCGUGACGGCGCGAGCAGGUGCGAAAGCAGGUCAUAGUGAUCCGGUGGUUCUGAAUGGAAGGGCCAUCGCUCAACGGAUAAAAGGUACUCCGGGGAUAACAGGCUGAUACCGCCCAAGAGUUCAUAUCGACGGCGGUGUUUGGCACCUCGAUGUCGGCUCAUCACAUCCUGGGGCUGAAGUAGGUCCCAAGGGUAUGGCUGUUCGCCAUUUAAAGUGGUACGCGAGCUGGGUUUAGAACGUCGUGAGACAGUUCGGUCCCUAUCUGCCGUGGGCGCUGGAGAACUGAGGGGGGCUGCUCCUAGUACGAGAGGACCGGAGUGGACGCAUCACUGGUGUUCGGGUUGUCAUGCCAAUGGCACUGCCCGGUAGCUAAAUGCGGAAGAGAUAAGUGCUGAAAGCAUCUAAGCACGAAACUUGCCCCGAGAUGAGUUCUCCCUGAC